UACGUAGGGUGCAAGCGUUAAUCGGAAUUACUGGGCGUAAAGCGUGCGCAGGCGGUGAUGUAAGACAGUUGUGAAAUCCCCGGGCUCAACCCGGGAACUGCGUCCGAUACUGGAAGGCUUGAAUCCGGGAGAGGGAUGCGGAAUUCCAGGUGUAGCGGUGAAAUGCGUAGAUAUCUGGAGGAACACCGGUGGCGAAGGCGGCAUCCUGGACCGGUAUUGACGCUGAGGCGCGAAAGCCAGGGGAGCAAACGGG
rnacentral:rRNA from 1 species